AUAAUAACAUAGUGCAUAGAAAUAAAUGUCAUAAAUAUUAUAGAUGUACUUAUUACAUAGCAGAAGUCUUACAAAAUAAAUGAUAAAUAUAAAACGAACUAAAUAUUAUUUCCCUGGCGCCACAAAGCUGACUCGGAGACGCCACCUAGAUCAAGUCGAACUCCUCGUUGUGUGGCUCCUCUUCGACCACCUGCUCUUCACCUGUGGGGGGUUUAUAUAUCGCAAGAGUGAGCUCACAGAAGAUCAUAGCUCAACAAGUCGUGGGAAAUAAUGUGGAUGAACUCACCAAAGGUGGGAGUUCAUGUGAAGUGUAAAGCUAAUCAAUAAAUAAAGGUUAAAGUUGAGCAUUGCUUUUAUAAGUUGGUCAAAAGUUUAUUAGCAGUUACUAAGUGUAAGUGAAUACCAAACCAUAGUAAUAUUAAAUAAAAAUAAUAAUAAAUAAUCCCAAUGCGAUGCAAAUGAUGAAUUGAAUUUAAUUCCAUAAAUUAAUCAUGUGAGUGUAUGAGCUGCUCAUGACCGUGAGCACGGCUAGUAUACCAGUUUUACACUCUGUAGAGGUUGCACAUCUUUACCCACAAGCCGUGUUACCCAUUUGCCAUGGGGUUGAUCGGACCCCAUACACCUCUACCAAGAAAGCGAUGCAGGGUUCCACUAUGAGGCCUUUACAAAGUUUCACUAGCUUCAGAAAACCCGCUACAGUUUCUAGGAAGCUCCAGUGCAAGGAUCCCUUGCCUGACCGUCAUCGCAGCAAAAUCAACCCAAGGACCUCCCUACACUGACCACUCCCCUACUGCCCUUGUCCCUAUCGGGUAAGGUAGUCCUCCUCUAGCUUUCCUAGUUAGUCAGCUAAGGGCGUCCCAUACCACCCUUGUGGUAGCACUGUUUUCCCAUGUGGUUCUCCAUGUUCCAAUUAACAUAAUGAUCUUAUCAUGAAUAGUAAAUAAUAAACUGACAAUAAAAGUGUGAACAUGAGUAAUGUAUAUCUCCAUACCCAAAACCACAUAAAGCAAUAUCAUGUACUACCCAAAAAUUCAGUGGUAAAACAAGGUAUAAAGAUAGCCAAACUAGGGUAACCUAUUGGGUCCCAUCAAAAUUAACCUAUGCAGAUCAUUAUGAUUAAUAAGAACAUGACUGGGUAAAAAGAAGUGAUCAAGGGCACAAAUUGCCUUCAACGAGCUCUUGAUCAACAGUCUCCACCUGCUGAACCUCUGGAUCCUCUGUGGCUUGCUUGUCUACUCACAUCAAUACAAACAUACAUAGUAUAACAAAAAUUAACAGAAUGGAUUUUCUGAGAAACGUGCACAAUAUAUUGGUUUUCUAAAAACUGAAGGGCUUUUCUGAGAAACGUGCACAACGAAGAGGUACCGUGAUCCCUCAGUCGUCCGAUCUUAAAUGAGGCGCCCUGAUUAGAUCCGCCCUCGCUUGAACCAAUACCUGACGACACCCGCCCGAUCAAAGAUGGACGAACCAGAUUUAAUGCUGGCUUAAGUCAUCCGUAUCCCUCAGAUCCCCAAUCGACGCUCAAAUUUACGCAAGACGAAACAGUAUCCAAACUUCUAAUCCUAGUCGUUCCUGCCCAAUCCCAUGAUGUACGCGGAUUCGCCUGACCCUGGCCCUCGCCGGUGACGAGAGCGCCUCGCACGGCAGCGCGCCAUGACCAGAAUUCCCAUGUUAGCCUACAGUGCACGAUUACCCGCCGCGCUAGAUGCUAACCGAAGCUGAGACCACGAUGAAUUAUGGAAGGAAGUACUCACUCGUGAUUGAGUUGAUGACAGGGCAGACCACGGAGCGAAGCGGCUCUGCCGUGGUACGCACGACUGGCGAGGAUUUGCCGGUGACCUGAGUCCCUUCGAGACGAUGGAUCCUGAUGUUCACCCUUCACACACCUAACUCCUUCUCCCCUCU
rnacentral:lncRNA from 1 species